UACGGAGGGGGCUAGCGUUGUUCGGAAUUACUGGGCGUAAAGCGCACGUAGGCGGCUUUUGCAAGUCAGAGGUGAAAGCCCGGGGCUCAACCCCGGAAUUGCCUUUUGAGACUGCAUCGCUAGAAUUGUGGAGAGGUAAGUGGAAUUCCGAGUGUAGAGGUGAAAUUCGUAGAUAUUCGGAAGAACACCAGUGGCGAAGGCGACUUACUGGACACAUAUUGACGCUGAGGUGCGAAAGCGUGGGGAGCAAACAGG
rnacentral:rRNA from 1 species